rnacentral:rRNA from 1 species
UCGCCGGAGGAUUGGCCCGCGUCCGAUUAGCUAGUUGGUGUGGUAACGGCGCACCAAGGCGACGAUCGGUAGCUGGUCUGAGAGGAUGAUCAGCCACAUUGGGACUGAGACACGGCCCAAACUCCUACGGGAGGCAGCAGUGGGGAAUAUUGGACAAUGGGCGCAAGCCUGAUCCAGCCAUGCCGCGUGAGUGAUGACGGCCUUAGGGUUGUAAAGCUCUUUCGCCAGGGACGAUAAUGACGGUACCUGGAUAAGAAGCCCCGGCUAACUUCGUGCCAGCAGCCGCGGUAAUACGAAGGGGGCUAGCGUUGUUCGGAAUUACUGGGCGUAAAGCGCGUGUAGGCGGGUCUUUAAGUCAGGGGUGAAAUGCCAAGGCUCAACCUUGGAACUGCCUUUGAUACUGGAGAUCUUGAGUCCGGGAGAGGUGAGUGGAACUGCGAGUGUAGAGGUGAAAUUCGUAGAUAUUCGCAAGAACACCAGUGGCGAAGGCGGCUCACUGGCCCGGAACUGACGCUGAGACGCGAAAGCGUGGGGAGCAAACAGGAUUAGAUACCCUGG